AGAGUGGUGAAGAGGUUUGAGAAUGAUUGUGAUGAUCUGUGGAAAAGUGAGUGAAGAGCUUGAAGAAUGAUGAAGAUGGUGUUAUAUAGAGGUGUCUAAGCAUAUACGCAUGGCUGCUGGUACAUAGUAUGGGGCUGGACUGGUGUAGUUGGUUUAAUAGCCUUCAAGACAUGAAUUUGCUUGAUCAUGAGGCUAAGUGGUAACACAAUGGAGGUGAAGUGGAAGCAUGAAGAGACUUGGAUAUAUACUGACUUUGAGUAGAACCUAUAAGUUUUUUUUUGUAAACUCUUUUGUAAUGUGACUAUUGGAUAUGUAAUGGAUUCUUGGAUCUUUGUAAUUGAAUUUGUAAUUUGGAACUUG